CGGAUGUGGCUCAGCUGGUAGAGCAUCACCUUGCCAAGGUGAGGGUCGCGGGUUCGAGUCCCGUCAUCCG
rnacentral:tRNA from 1 species